GCCGUGUGUGGUGGUGCACGCCUGUCCCUGCUACUUGGGAGGCUGAGGCAGGAGGAUUGCUUGAGCCCAGGAGGUCAAGGCUGCAGUGAGCGAUGAUAAUGCCACUGCCGUCUAGCCUGGGCAACAGAGUGAGACCCUGUCUCUU
rfam:Pan troglodytes isolate Yerkes chimp pedigree #C0471 (Clint) chromosome 7, whole genome shotgun sequence.